GGCCAUAGUACAUUGAGACCCCGGUUCUCGUCCAAUCACAGAAGAUAAGCAACGUCGAGCCUGGCCAGAACAUAGAUGGCUGACCGCUUGGGAAUACCAGGUGUUGUAAG